rnacentral:ncRNA from 2 species
UUUUGCAGAAGAGGAGCACUGCCCAGGUAGACGUGUUGUGGAGCCACAAAUCCGAUACAACACAUUGAGGGGGAGUAGUGCCGAGGUAGAUCCGAAGUGUCGGUUUGGAUCUGUCGGUUGCUAGGGUUGAAUCCCUACAACUGUCAUCAGCCCAGUCUGAUGAUGAGCUUCUGAGGAA